GUAGGUGAACCUGCGGAAGGAUCAUUAUUGAGAGGGGUCCUUAGGACCCCGGGGGUUUCGGCCCCCAACUCUUCACCCGGUGUUUACCUACCUUUGUUGCUUUGGCGGGCCUUGGGGUUCGCCCCAUCCCGGCCACGGGCCCCGCAGCCCGGGCCAGGCCGUGCCCGUCAGGGGUCCAUCAAACUCUGUUCUACCAGUGCUGUCCGAGUGAAAACCACAAUAGUAAAAACUUUCAACAACGGAUCUCUUGGUUCUG
rnacentral:misc_RNA from 1 species